rnacentral:rRNA from 1 species
AGCCAGCACCAAAACACGUUGAAUGUAUCAGUUCCUGAUGGAUCACUGAAGUUAAGCAACGUUGCACUUGGUAUCCGGGUGGAUGACUCUCUGGGCGAUAGCGUGCUGCCUU